GAAAGUGGGGUUUUAAAGUCAUGUGUUUGGCAGGGGAAGGGAGGGUUUCAGGGCAGCCACCAUAGCAGGGAGGAAUUAUUGGCUUAUAGAGGAAGGAGGAGAGCGUUGCAUCUACUCACCCAUCACAUGAUUCUGUGAAGACAGCCAUGGCGUCUGAAGGAUCUGAAGAAUCCCCCAUGUGAGAGGAUCAGAACUGAAAGACCAGCAGUCAUCUCACCUCCAGAAGAGCGUUCAGCACCAGCAGAAAGUGCUGACUCUGAAGUGUGCUUCCGAAUGAAUUCAGCCAUUGCGCUGAGAGUCCUGCCUGGCACUGACAGACCAUUUCCCAGCAAGCAGUGGGUAGAAAAUGGGAUUUCAGCUCUUCCUUUUCAUGCUUACUUGAAAAAAAUGGAUUCAAACUGGUUCGGGUAGGAGCCGUAUCACCCGGGUGGAAAACAAGCCGAAGGACCGUAAGCAAAAGGAGCUCCAAGCAGAGGGGCUGAGAUGUUACUGCGCAUUUGGAAACGGAGGGGAAAGUUGGAGCUUUCAGUAAAAUCUGAUUUGCUGCUAUUUCCUGUGAGCUGAGACGGGUUUGCUUGUGGCUCCCAAGGACAGGGAACAGGUCUGGCUUCAAACAAGGCGUACUUCAGAAAUUCCAUGUGUGGGGCUAACUUUGACCCUUAUCAGAUUUGCCCUCCUCCCUGGCAGGAAGGUACAGGAGCAGGAUCACAAGGAGGCAGAACACUGGUCAGACGCAUGCCUUAAACUCCGCUCCUUCAACAGGAGCGAUCUCUAAAUGAUCCAUGUGAAACUGCUCUGAAUUUCUCUCAUUUGAUUGAUGCAGUUUAAGGCCAGGAGGGGCUA